rnacentral:rRNA from 1 species
UACAGAGGGGGCAAGCGUUGUUCGGAAUUACUGGGCGUAAAGGGCGCGUAGGCGGCCUGUUAAGUCGAACGUGAAAUCCCCGGACUCAACCCGGGAACUGCGUCCGAUACUGGCAGGCUUGAAUCCGGGAGAGGGAUGCGGAAUUCCAGGUGUAGCGGUGAAAUGCGUAGAUAUCUGGAGGAACACCGGUGGCGAAGGCGGCAUCCUGGACCGAUACUGACGCUGAGGAGCGAAAGCGUGGGGAGCAAACAGGG